GUGUCUGUAGUUUACCAGGCUAGAAUACCGCCUUGUGGGGGCGGAGAAUCGGGUUCGAGGCCCGGCAGACGCC
rnacentral:tRNA from 1 species